GACGGUAGGCGCGAGCGUUGUCCGGAUUUAUUGGGCGUAAAGAGCUCGUAGGCGGCUUGUUGCGUCGACUGUGAAAACCUGCGGCUCAACCGUGUGGUCUGCAGUCGAUACGUGCGGGCUUGAGUGCGGAAGAGGGUCGUGGAAUUCCCAGUGUAGAGGUGAAAUUCGUAGAUAUUGGGAAGAACACCGGUGGCGAAGGCGGCGACCUGGUCCGAUACUGACGCUGAGGCGCGAAAGCGUGGGGAGCAAACAGG
rnacentral:rRNA from 1 species